rnacentral:lncRNA from 1 species
CUUACAGUCGAGCCAAGUAGAAUAAAUUCCUCUGCAUUUUGAACAACUACAAGCAUACAGUGACCACCUGAUAUUAAAAGAACAAGAUCUCAAUGCAUUCUCGCAUACCUCUGUGAUAUGUUGCCUAUGCAUUUCCCGAGCAAUUGGAGGUAUUAUACCUCCAUACCUACAAGUACAUUGUCUAAAUGAAUGCAACUGUUUUUAAACUAACAAUCAUUAUAUUGUUAACAUGUUUAAAUUACUUCAAGUGUAAUAAAUA